GCAGGUGCGAAAGCAGGUCAUAGUGAUCCGGUGGUUCUGAAUGGAAGGGCCAUCGCUCAACGGAUAAAAGGUACUACGGGGAUAACAGGCUGAUACCGCCCAAGAGUUCAUAUCGACGGCGGUGUUUGGCAACUCGAUGUCGGCUCAUCACAUCCUGGGGCUGAAGUAGGUCCCAAGGGUAUGGCUUUUCGACAUUUAAAGUGGUACGCGAGCUGGGUUUAGAACGUCGUGAGACAGUUC
rnacentral:rRNA from 1 species